rnacentral:tRNA from 1 species
GGACGCUUAGCUCAGUUGGUUAGAGCGUCUCGUUUACACCGAGAAGGUCAUAGGUUCGAGCCCUAUAGCGUCCACCA